rnacentral:tRNA from 1 species
GGGACUGUAGCUCAGCUGGAUUAGAGCAUCUGCCUUCUAAGCAGAGGGUCGCCUGUUCGAGUCAGGCCAGUCUCA